AUGGAUUGGGCGGCGGUGGCGUACACGGCGGCGGCGCUGCUGUGCGCCGCGGCGGCCACCGUCAUCACGCUCGGCCACAUAUACCGCCACCUGCUCCACUACGCCGAGCCCAUCUUCCAGCGCUUCAUCGUCCGCAUCAUCUUCAUGGUCCCGGUCUAUGCAGUGAUGUCAUUUAUUUCCCUUAUCCUACCAGACAAUGCAAUAUAUUUUACCUCUAUCCGAGAAAUCUAUGAUGCUUGGGUCAUCUACAAUUUCUUUUCACUCUGCUUGGCAUGGGUGGGAGGACCUGGUGCUGUGGUGGUGAGUUUGAAUGGCCGAACCCUGAAACCAUCGUGGUUUCUGAUGACUUGCUGUUUCCCAGCUAUUCCUCUAGACGGGCGUUUUAUACGGAGAUGCAAACAAGGCUGUUUGCAGUUUGUUAUUCUUAAGCCUAUCUUGGUGGUUAUUACCUUCAUACUUUAUGCUAAAGGAAAAUAUGAAGAUGGAAACUUCAGUGUCAACCAAUCCUAUUUAUACAUCACUAUCAUUUACACAAUCUCAUACUCGAUGGCGUUAUAUGCUCUUGCAUUGUUCUAUGCGGCAUGCAGAGAUCUACUUCGGCCAUAUAAUCCCGUCCCAAAGUUCAUUAUAAUCAAAUCAGUCGUGUUUCUCACAUACUGGCAGGGUGUCCUGGUUUUCCUUGCUGCAAAGUCUCGAUUUAUCAAGAAUGCUGAAAAGGCUGCUGAUCUCCAGAACUAUGUGCUGUGCGUUGAGAUGCUCAUAGCUGCCAUUGGGCACCUAUUUGCCUUUCCCUACAAGGAGUAUGCAGGUGCAAAUGCUCGCCCUUCGGGUGGUUUCAGGGAAAGCCUUCUUCAUGCUUUGAAAUUCAACGAUUUCUACCAUGACACUGUUCACCAGUUUGCUCCUACCUACAACGAAUAUGUGCUGUACAACCACAAUGAGGGAGAGAGUGCACCGACAAAGUUUCCUUCAGGGAGCGCCGUGCCAAGUGUCCGGGAUGUGGAGUUGGCUGGCAUCACCGUGAUGCCGCCCUCAAAUAGUCCAGUGACCUCAAGCGUGUCAUCCAACCAGGUAGACCAGGACGAAUCAAUGACCACUCCGAUCAGGAACAAAGUGGACCCGCCUGGAGGAAUGUACGACCUCUCGGACUUGCUCGACGUGGACUUGUCUAGCUACCCCGCCAAGGUUCCUGCAAUCUCUGAUGUAAGAAAACAAUGA
rnacentral:rRNA from 1 species